rnacentral:rRNA from 1 species
GAUGAACGCUGGCGGCGUGCCUAAUACAUGCAAGUAGAACGCUGAAGGAGGAGCUUGCUCUUCUGGAUGAGUUGCGAACGGGUGAGUAACGCGUAGGUAACCUGCCUGGUAGCGGGGGAUAACUAUUGGAAACGAUAGCUAAUACCGCAUGACAACAGUUAUUGCAUGAUAACUGUUUAAAAGGGGCAACUGCUCCACUACCAGAUGGCCCUGCGUUGUAUUAGCUAGUUGGUGAGGUAACGGCUCACCAAGGCGACGAUACAUAGCCGACCUGAGAGGGUGAUCGGCCACACUGGGACUGAGACACGGCCCAGACUCCUACGGGAGGCAGCAGUAGGGAAUCUUCGGCAAUGGACGGAAGUCUGACCGAGCAACGCCGCGUGAGUGAAGAAGGUUUUCGGAUCGUAAAGCUCUGUUGUAAGAGAAGAACGAGUGUGAGAGUGGAAAGUUCACACUGUGACGGUAUCUUACCAGAAAGGGACGGCUAACUACGUG